GGGUGUAUAGCUUAGUGAUAGAGCAUUCGGCUGCAGAUCGAGAGGUCUCUGGUUCGAACCCGGGUGUCCA